CAGGACGAACGCUGGCGGCGUGCUUAAUACAUGCAAGUUGAGCGGAGCUAAUAGUGAGUUUACUUAUUAUUAGUCGAGCAGCGGACGGGUGAGUAACGCGUGGGCAAUCUGCCCUCUAGUUUGGGAUAACAGUUCGAAAGGACUGCUAACACCGAAUAAUCUUAAAUUUGGGCAUCUAAAUUUAAGGAAAGUUAACGCUAGAGGAUGAGCCCGCGUCCCAUUAGCUAGUUGGUGAGGUAACGGCCCACCAAGGCAACGAUGGGUAGCCGACCUGAGAGGGUGACCGGCCACACUGGGACUGAGACACGGCCCAGACUCCUACGGGAGGCAGCAGUAGGGAAUUUUCCGCAAUGGAACGAAAGUCUGACGGAGCAACGCCGCGUGAGGGAUGAAGGUUUUCGGAUCGUAAACCUCUGUCCUUGGGGAAGAUAAUGACGGUACCCAAGGAGGAAGCCACGGCUAACUACGUGCCAGCAGCGGC
rnacentral:rRNA from 1 species